rnacentral:lncRNA from 1 species
UAAAUUUAGGGCUGGCUAUAUAAAUCCUUAUUCACAACUCCAUUCAGUUAUCAUUGGAAGACCAAUGUGAAAUUGUUUAACAAAAGAUAGUUUAGAGCAUAUAUGGUGAGAAGAGGUGUAUUUUAGGAAGAGUAAAUUUAACCAAUAAUCACUGAACUUUACACUUGAUUACUACUUGCUCACUCAUCUUUCACAGACUACUGAAUGCUCACUCAUCUUUUCAUAUAAUUACUCAUUCACCACUCGUCUCUUCAAAUAAUUGAGCGACUUUUACGGCAAAUUUUCGACAACUUCCGACCACAAAGAAUGUCGAAUUUUGAUACCGUUGGAAAGCUCACGAUAUCCUCUUCAAUUACCACCCAAAAUCUCAUUAUAACUCCAAGGGAUUCGAUCGAAAAAUUGCUUUAAAAGUUGCCCAAAAAUUUUGAAAAUCCUCAUGCACAUAUAUAUAACUUUUACUGGAAGCAGAAAUAAGAAACUAAGUCUCGUUCCGGCUAAAUUUAGGGCUGGCUAUAUAAAUCCUUAUUCACAACUCCAUUCAGUUAUCAUUGGAAGACCAAUGUGAAAUUGUUUAACAAAAGAUAGUUUAGAGCAUAUAUGGUGAGAAGAGGUGUAUUUUAGGAAAGUGGAUACUAAUAUAUCCAUAAAAUGAAAUGGAAAUAUUUAUUUUGGGAUGGAGUGAAGUGUUAUCAAUAAGUUUUAGGAGUGACAAAAAAACUUCACUGAGAAAAAAGUCGCAAUAAACCAAGUGCCAUUAUCCACCAGUACAAGGUUUAGUAAAUAAUGAAACUUCCCUUAAAUUUUCGGCACUUCUUUUGCUUAUUUGCCAUGACUUAAUAACUCAAAUGAAUUCUAUAACCAUCAUUCUCAACUCUCAGUGCUUCACAUUUUUCUCUGUCUAUCUCGUGUACAAGUCAAGG